rnacentral:lncRNA from 10 species
CUUGCUUUAGGAAGCGGAAGACUAAUGACCGAAGCUUCAAGACUUUGACAUGUGUGAAAACAUGAAAUGACCCUUGGCUCUUAUUGUUCUUGCUGGUGUGGUAUGUUCACGGCUGAAAAGAUGGUCAGAAGGGGAAAGGAGGAAGUGAGAAGAAAGAAACAGGGAAAUGACAGAGUGUUGCUCAGUUACCCAGGCUGGAGUGCAAUGGCAUGAUCUUGGCUCACUGCAGCCUCCACCUCCUGGGUUCAAGCGGUUCUCGUGCCUCAGUCUCCCAAGUAGCUGGGAUUACAGGCUGGAGUGCGAUGGCAUGAUCUUGGCUCACGGCAAACUCCGCCUCCCUGGUUCAAGUGAUUCUCCUGCCUCAGCCUCCCGAGUAGCCGGGAUUACAGGCAUGUGCCACCAUGCCCCGUUGGCCAGGCUGGUCUCGAACACCUUACCUCAGGUGAUCCUCCCACCUUUGGGAUUACAGACCCUGCAUGUGAUGGAUCAGCUGACACCAUCCAGAUCGGUAAACUGGUUCAUCUGAUCUUGUGCCCUCCACCCAGGAACUGACUCAGCGCAAGAAGACAGCUUCGACUCCUUGUGAUUUCAUCCCUAACCAAUCAGCACUCCUGGCUCACUGGCUUCCCCCAACCCACCAAAUUGUCCUUAAAAACUCUGCUCUCCAAACGCUGGGGGAGACUGAUUUGAGUAAUAAUAAAACCCUGGUCUCCUGCA